CAGUAGCCGCGGGAAAACAGAGGGUGCGAGCGUUAAUCGGAUUUACUGGGCGUAAAGCGUGCGUAGGCGGCUUCUUAAGUCGGAUGUGAAAUCCCUGAGCUUAACUUAGGAAUUGCAUUCGAUACUGGGAAGCUAGAGUAUGGGAGAGGAUGGUAGAAUUCCAGGUGUAGCGGUGAAAUGCGUAGAGAUCUGGAGGAAUACCGAUGGCGAAGGCAGCCAUCUGGCCUAAUACUGACGCUGAGGUACGAAAGCAUGGGGAGCAAACAGGAUUAGAUACACCUGUAGUCCCUGUCUCUUAUAC
rnacentral:rRNA from 1 species